UACGGAGGAUGCGAGCGUUAUCCGGAUUUAUUGGGUUUAAAGGGUGCGUAGGCGGAUUUUUAAGUCAGCGGUAAAAUGUCCGGGCUCAACCCGGGCCGGCCGUUGAAACUGGGGAUCUUGAGUGGGCGAGAAGUAUGCGGAAUGCGUGGUGUAGCGGUGAAAUGCAUAGUUAUCACGCAGAACUCCGAUUGCGAAGGCAGCAUACCGGCGCCCGACUGACGCUGAGGCACGAAAGCGUGGGGAUCGAACAGG
rnacentral:rRNA from 1 species